GCUUGUUACUGGUAGUGUUACCUUUAGGUACAGCUGUGAGCUUGGCUUGUUACUGGUAGUGUUACCUUUAGGUACAGCUGUGAGCUUGGCUUGUUACUGGUAGUGUUACCUUUAGGUACAGCUGUGAGCUUGGCUUGUUACUGGUAGUGUUACCUUUAGGUACAGCUGUGAGCUUGUUACUGGUAGUGUUACCUUUAGGUACAGCUGUGAGCUUGGCUUGUUACUGGUAGUGUUACCUUUAGGUACAGCUGUGAGCUUGGCUUGUUACUGGUAGUGUUACCUUUAGGUACAGCUGUGAGCUUGUUACUGGUAGUGUUACCUUUAGGUACAGCUGUGAGCUUGUUACUGGUAGUGUUACCUUUAGGUACAGCUGUGAGCUUGUUACUGGUAGUGUUACCUUUAGGUACAGCUGUGAGCUUGUUACUGGUAGUGUUACCUUUAGGUACAGCUGUGAGCUUGUUACUGGUAGUGUUACCUUUAGGUACAGCUGUGAGCUUGUUACUGGUAGUGUUACCUUUAGGUACAGCUGUGAGCUUGUUACUGGUAGUGUUACCUUUAGGUACAGCUGUGAGCUUGUUACUGGUAGUGUUACCUUUAGGUACAGCUGUGAGCUUGUUACUGGUAGUGUUACCUUUAGGUACAGCUGUGAGCUUGUUACUGGUAGUGUUACCUUUAGGUACAGCUGUGAGCUUGUUACUGGUAGUGUUACCUUUAGGUACAGCUGUGAGCUUGUUACUGGUAGUGUUACCUUUAGGUACAGCUGUGAGCUUGUUACUGGUAGUGUUACCUUUAGGUACAGCUGUGAGCUUGUUACUGGUAGUGUUACCUUUAGGUACAGCUGUGAGCUUGUUACUGGUAGUGUUACCUUUAGGUACAGCUGUGAGCUUGUUACUGGUAGUGUUACCUUUAGGUACAGCUGUGAGCUUGUUACUGGUAGUGUUACCUUUAGGUACAGCUGUGAGCUUGGCUUGUUACUGGUAGUGUUACCUUUAGGUACAGCUGUGAGCUUGUUACUGGUAGUGUUACCUUUAGGUACAGCUGUGAGCUUGGCUUGUUACUGGUAGU